CUUUGAUUUUGGUCCAUUUUGUAGUAAGAACUGCAUUGUCAAAGCUAAGAAGCAAUGCAAACAACAUAGCCUGGGGACAAAAGGCCACCCUGUGUCUGGUUCGGUGCAGAGAGGAAAGCGCCCUCCCUCUUCUUCCACAGCUCCCUGGGGACGAGAUGGGGGUCUUUGACUCUGGGGAAGUGGUUGAGAAAGGUUUGAGAAAGGGACAGAGAUAGCUAAGGGGGUGUCAGGUGAGCCAGGAGAGCAGUAUAGAUUGGGAUGGAUGGGGUGGGGGGAGCUGGGUCUUUAAGUCGCUGAGUGGGUACAUGAGCACCUUUAGCAUUGGGAGAUAAUGCUACUUGCCUUGUCCAUGAAUUUACCACUGAAUGUGUCUGAGUUUAUGGGUGUGAGAGUGCAUGCCUGUGAUUGAGUAUGGGUGUGCUUUACACACUCGCGCUUUUGACCAGAGAAGAGCUUAUGGGAAACAUGGAUGACUAAGCUGACCCCUGGCCAUCUUAGUCACCAUGUCUCAUUUCCCUACAAUGUAGGACUGGGGCAAUAGGCAUGUGAGUCCAUGGGGAGCAGACCAGGAGGAGCUGGGAAGGCUGAAAAUGCUCCCACUUCCAGGAAGGGUGUGUCUCAGGGGCCACCUCCUCUAAAUGGAGUCUCCAGGCAUCCUAACCUCAUCAGUGCAUUGCUAACUGCUGUUACUUUUAUUUGUCCCAAUGCUAUACACAUUGCAGGCAUUCAGUGACAGAAUACUGUUUAAUAGUAGCCACAGUAAUUAGUAGCACAGUAAUUCUGUUGCAGAGAUAAGCACACCCCCAGAUAAAGCUCUGAGUGUAUCUUUAAGGCAAAUCCACCUUGCAAACAAGGGAAAACUAUGUUUUUAUUAUACUUUCUAAGCAUUAAUCCCUUAUGCACUACUUUACUAUUUCAGGAAAGUGCUUUACUGCCAAAGUUUACAUAGAGUCUCAAAAGGUCCAGUCCAGACAGCAUAACUGAGCCUGUGCUUCUGUCUCUGUAGGCCCUUCAGACUCAGAGACAAUAGGUGGGCAGCUGUAUUGAGAGGGGACAUUGGCUUUGGUUGUAGCUGUGCCUCAAGGCUUAGGUGUUUGCCUAGUAUGUAUUGAGCCCUGGGUUUGAUCCCAGGAACCCCCAAAGGAUGAAGGCUCCUGGAACACCCACAGACCCCUAUUAGCACAAAGAGUUGAAAUGUCCUCCCAAGAAGUAGUCACAGUGAGAGCCACAGGCCACCAGAGAGUAGACUGCUUUGUGCUGGAGGAGACAGAAAGGGCUCUGCUCCUUAGGAGACUGAGGCUGGUGAGCCAAUCCAGCCCUCUGGGCGCUUGUGCCCAGCCCUGAGUCCUGCAGACUUGCUGCAUCCAUUGCUGUUCUCUGUUGUCUCCUCUGACACAAAUACAUUUCUCAAAGAUUCUGCAUAAACCUUCCCUACUGUUUUGGUUUGUGAAGGAAGAAUACAAUACGUCAGAAAGAAAAAAGGAAAAAAAAAAACUUGUCUUUGAGGACUACUUUUGAAGGAGUUUCUUAUUUUAAACUGGAAGAACGUAAUUUAUACUCACACUGAUUCCAGUUAAAAGGAGCAGAAGGUCCUCUGCUUCUCUCUGUGCAUAGUGAGGUCCCAUUUACACUGGGGCAAAGGUGUCAUUCACCUGCACCCCUAAAGGAUCAAUGGGGGUGCCAGCUUGUCCUGUGAACCCAGACAAAAUUUGCUUCCCUGGCAACUGGACAGAGGAGGGCAUUCUAACAUGCAGUGGGCUGUUCUUUUGUGGGUUAUCUUCUUGAUUUGGAUGCUGUUAAACUGAACUGCCCCUAAAAAGCUCAAAUUCAAUAUAAAAGGUGGCAGGACUUUAUUCUGUAUCUGCUGUGUGGGGAACAAUUUUUUAGCACCCAGCAAAGUGUGUUCAUUUCUUCCUUAAGGUUAAUUUUUGAGAAAGUCCAGUUGAGCCUGAAUUUGGCCAUUAGGAAUAUGGGGUGGGAGUGUACAUCGGACAAGGAAAUCUUUGUGUAUUCUCUCCUUCCCAACAAAAAUACAGCAGUGCCUGAGAGGAAAAGUUUGACUGGCUCAGCUGCCUCCUACCUCAAGGCUUGCAGGACUCCAGGGCAGGGGGUUCCUGUAGAGGGCUGGGAAUGGUAAAACUUGGUGAGACGGAAGGGAAACAUCUUACUAGCAGCUAGGGCUCUCUUUUCCAAGGCUGGCUCUGACCUCCAAACUUUUUGGUGUUGGGAAGGGAGGAGAGGACAAAGGUACUUCAGGGGUUUGAAAGCAGUUUUGUGGGAAGAGCAAACCAAUGCUCUUAGGAAGCUAGGUCAGCAUGUGGGGAGGAGUUUAGUGUGCAUGUCACAUGUAUGUCAGGCAUCCUUGAAAGGGCACAAGGUGGCAUGAAGGGCAUGAGGGAGCAUGCAGAGAACGGGUCACAGGCUUGUAGGCAUGGUGGAGAAAUGUAGUCAAGGGCUUUACCAGGGUUGAUCUAGGAAUUGUAUUUAGCACCAUGCCCAGAGGGAAAGUUGCCUAGAGAACAUUUGGGGGGAAGAAACCCCUUUUUCUGCAGGUGUACUGGAGCUCCAGGAGCUCCCAAGCCCUCUGGGCACACCAUUCUGAGCUGUAGGGGAGUGAAGGAGACAGUUUAGGGUGUGCCCUUUUCUCUGCCCCACCAUUGGACAUGGCUUAGUUCUGGCAAAUCAUCCAAGCUGCCAAAGCUUCUAGAACACCUCUCCCCCAGCUGGUUUUGGUGGUGCAUACAGGCUUGUAAUCUCAGCACUUGGGAGGCUGGAGGCAAGAAGAUCAAAAUUUCAAAGCUGGUCUGUGCUAAAAUAAGUUCAAGGCUAGCCUGAGCAGCUUAGCGAGACUGUCACAGAAUAAAAAGUGAAAGAGGUAGGGCUUAGGGGCAGUAAAAGAGGUCUGGGGUAGUGGGGCUUGCCUGGCCUAUAAGAGGCCCUGGGCUUAACCCUCAGUACUUAAAUUAAUUAACAAGCCUCUCUCAGAAAAGAGCAUUAAAACAACAUAGAGAGAAAAAAACAACAUAGAGGUUUGAAAAGAAAAUAAAAGAAAGAAAAGAAAAAAAGAAAAGAGAGGGAGAUUCAAAAUAAAUAAAUAAAUAGACAGAUAAAUAAAUAAAUAAGUAAAUAAAUAAAUAAAUUCUGGCUAAACCUGGUCCUGAGAAUGCCCCAAGACAUGGAGAGAUAAGGCUAUUUGCUUGCUAUCAUCCUUCUGGUAGGGAAACAUCUUGUGGGUUUUAUCUCAUCUCAAGCUGGCCCCACCCACAGCCAUGCAGCCAGCAUUAAUAGCAAUGAACAUUCAGACAUACUCCGUUUUGGGUGAGAAGCACUAAGUUAAACCUAUUAGCCACCACCUUCCAUCUAAGCAAGAUAAGCAGUCCACAGGUCUGGCUUUGUUUUGGGCUAUUCAUGGGACUAGCAGAUAGACAGACCCAAUGGUUAAAGUGAUAGUCCCCUAAAUGGACUGCUGGUGACUCCGUGUUUAGGGGUCCCUGGUUACAGGAACUGGCUGGUUUAAUCUGACCAGCAGGAUUUAGGCAUCUCAGCCAGUUUUAUAGAAGGGACCCAGCAGAGGAUAAGUAGGAGGAUGAAGGGACCGCUCACUGGCACACAGAGCAGCUCCUGGGGCCCAUGGUUGCUCUGAGAAUUUCGAUGUACCUAGAACCCAGAUGUUGCCCAACAGCAACUGGCUACUCCCCGGUGCUUUUCUGCUUCUGCUUCUUUGGUGGAGAAAAGGACCUUUCUGGCUGGACUGGAUUGAGAGCCAGGUGGAGGAAGUUGAGGACGGGGA
rnacentral:lncRNA from 1 species